UAACUCCAACCCUGUUCCUGGAGAGAGACCCUCCUGUAGGUUUUAACUCCAACCCUGUUCCUGGAGAGACACCCUCCUGUAGGUUUUAACUCCAACCCUGUUCCUGGAGAGACACCCUCCUGUAGGUUUUAACUCCAACCCUGUUCCUGGAGAGAUACCGUCCUGUAGGUUUAAACUCCAACCCUGUUCCUGGAGAGAGACCCUCCUGUAGGUUUAAACUCCAACCCUGUUCCUGGAGAGAGACCCUCCUGUAGGUUUAAACUACAACCCUGUUCCUGGAGAGAGACCCUCCUGUAGGUUUAAACUCCAACCCUGUUCCUGGAGAGAGACCCUCCUGUAGGUUUAAACUCCAACCC